rnacentral:rRNA from 1 species
CUGCUUCUACUUUCUGUAUGGAGCUGGGAGCGUCUACCUGUUGGACGCCCGAAGAGCGUCAGGUUUGAUCCUUGGUAUGUAGAUGAACAUGACGAAUUACGACGCCCCACGUGGGCUUACAAGUGGGAUAUCGUUUCCGAGAUGACGAACGAUGUCAAUCUCAUGUAA